CUACGUGCCAGCAGCCGCGGUAAUACGGAAGGUCUAGGCGUUAUCCGGAUUUAUUGGGUUUAAAGGGAGCGUAGGCCGUGGAUUAAGCGUGUUGUGAAAUGUAGACGCUCAACGUCUGAAUUGCAGCGCGAACUGGUUCACUUGAGUAUGCACAACGUAGGCGGAAUUCGUCGUGUAGCGGUGAAAUGCUUAGAUAUGACGAAGAACUCCGAUUGCGAAGGCAGGUGUCCGGGCUGCAACUGACGCUGAGGCUCGAAAGUGUGGGUAUCAAACAGGAUUAGAUACCCUGGUAGUCCACACAGUAAACGAUGUAUACUCGCGGUUUGCGAUAGAUUGUAAGCCGCCAAGCGAAAGCAUUAAGUAUACCACCUGGGGAGUACGCCGGCAACGGUGAAACUCAAAGGAAUUGACGGGGGCCCGCACAAGCGGAGGAACAUGUGGUUUAAUUCGAUGAUACGCGAGGAACCUUACCCGGGCUUGAA
rnacentral:rRNA from 1 species